UACGAAGGGGGGCUAGCGUUGCUCGGAAUCACUGGGCGUAAAGCGCACGUAGGCGAUCUUUAAGUCAGGGGUGAAAUCCUGGAGCUCAACUCCAGAACUGCCUCUGAUACUGGGGAUCUUGAGUCCGGAAGAGGUAAGUGGAACUGCGAGUGUAGAGGUGAAAAUUCGUAGAUAUUCGCAAGAACACCAGUGGCGAAGGCGGCUUACUGGUCCGGUACUGACGCUGAGGUGCGAAAGCGUGGGGGAGCAAACAGGG
rnacentral:rRNA from 1 species